rnacentral:Y_RNA from 1 species
GGUUGGUCUAAGUGUAGUGGUGUUUACAACUAAUUGAUCACAAGUUACAAAUUCCUUUGUUCCUUCUUUACUCCCACUGCUUCACUUGACCAGCCUUUA